rnacentral:rRNA from 1 species
GAUGAACGCUAGCUACAGGCUUAACACAUGCAAGUCGCGGGGCAGCAUGGGGGUUGCUUGCAAUCCCCGAUGGCGACCGGCGCACGGGUGAGUAACGCGUAUCCAACCUGCCCUUCACCACGGGAUAACCCGGCGAAAGUCGGACUAAUACCGUAUGUUGUCCAUUGACGGCAUCCGAUUUGGACGAAAGGGUGGGCGGUGAAGGAGGGGGAUGCGUCCGAUUAGGGGGACGGCGGGGUGACGGCCCACCGUGGCGACGAUCGGUAGGGGGUCUGAGAGGAAGGUCCCCCACACUGGAACUGAGACACGGUCCAGACUCCUACGGGAGGCAGCAGUGAGGAAUAUUGGUCAAUGGGCGUAAGCCUGAACCAGCCAAGUAGCGUGCAGGAUGACGGCCCUAUGGGUUGUAAACUGCUUUUAUGCGGGGAUAAAGUGGCCCACGUGUGGGUUUUUGCAGGUACCGCAUGAAUAAGGACCGGCUAAUUCCGUG